rnacentral:rRNA from 1 species
GACGAACGCUGGCGGCGUGCUUAGCACAUGCAAGUCGAACGGUAAGGCCCUUCGGGGUACACGAGUGGCGAACGGGUGAGUAACACGUGGGUGAUCUGCCCUGCACUUUGGGAUAAGCCUGGGAAACUGGGUCUAAUACCGAAUACACCCUGCUGGUCGCAUGGCCUGGUGGGGGAAAGCUUUUGCGGUGUGGGAUGGGCCCGCGGCCUAUCAGCUUGUUGGUGGGGUGAUGGCCUACCAAGGCGACGACGGGUAGCCGGCCUGAGAGGGUGUCCGGCCACACUGGGACUGAGAUACGGCCCAGACUCCUACGGGAGGCAGCAGUGGGGAAUAUUGCACAAUGGGCGCAAGCCUGAUGCAGCGACGCCGCGUGCAGGAAGACUGCCCUAUGGGUUGUAAACUGCUUUUAUACAGGAAGAAACACUCCCUCGAGAAGGGAGCUUGAC